UGUCUUCCCCAGUCCUUAGCACAUUGUUCUGCACAUAUUAGGUUUUUGAUAUAUACAUAUUGAUAGGGGAAAGAGAGAUGGACUUUCUAUCAGCUCUCAGGACAAGGGAGUGAUUGAGAGGAGAAUUUUUCUUUGGUUAAAUAAUUUUCUACCAGUCCUGAAGGCAUAAAAGGAAAUGCUUGGGAUUAAGGUGUGAACUAGGUUCAUCUUCAUUGUUACAUGGUCAAAUAAAUCUAUAUUUGCUUUUCCAUGAAUCUUAUCUCUGCUCUAAUGUGGAUUGCUUUGCAUGCUGUAAUAAUCUUGAUUUAUAAUAAUGCCUCCUAUCUCUGUAUUAUUGCCAUUCUAAGAAAAUGUCACAUUUUCUUCACUUUCAAAAGAGAAAUACAGAGAUCAGAGAGAGCCUACAUUGGAUCCUAGGUGUUAGAGAAAACAGAAUUUACAUGUAGCAAUCCAGGAAGUUUCCAAGGCAACACCAGCUUCUUAUGACAUCCUAAGAGAGGUCAUAAUUGUGGCAGGCAUGUCAACAUUGCUGGUUAAGCCUGUAACACCCUUUUUGGUUAGGAUGUGAACAUCAUGGCCUCACCUUUGGAUUCCAAAGCAGAUUCGACACAAGAGUUCUUAAAAAAACAGUACUUUUAUUGGCUUCUCAUCCUUUGGCAACAGCACACUCAUAUGCAGCUUGUUGAUUUGGCUGAAUCCUUCAUUCAGGAGCUUGGUGUUGCUCUCUGUGUGGCUCCUCCUGCAGUUCUUGGCUUCCAGAAGUCAACUCUAGGCAGUGCUCUCAGCAGGUCUAGCCUGGAGUUGCAGAAGAAGACUUGGAAGUGGUGGUUGAAUGAGAGCUGUGUAACCAGGACCAUGGAGAGCCAAACAGUCUACCUUUUAGCUAUGAUCUUUGUUUCUGUUCUUAUGUCACCCUCCUCAUAUCUGCUUCCCGUACUUACCCUUCUCAUUGUCCCUUUAAGCUCUUUUCUUAGUCUUCUCUUCAUUGAAUAUAACCUUCAUUUUUCAUAGUAACUUACUCUGUCUCUAUAAAUGUGAAAAGAAAACACAACUCCUUCCCUUCCCUUCACAAACACCCCAUACAAUAAAAAAUCUUUGUAGGUUGUAUGCUUUUUAACU
rnacentral:lncRNA from 1 species